UUGGUUCUAAGGUAAAUAUUAUACUGUGCAACUACAAGCUGGGAAUUUCCCGAUGCAGAUGUUGGUAUCCACUGAUACUCAAGAUGGAUGACAUGAAUUCAUAACAGAGAAACUGCAGAUCGUUUCAAUAGUUUUAUUGAAUUUUGAGUAUGUAGACAGUAUGAAUACUGAUGGACGUGUUCGCAUUAAUGUUAAAUCUUAUCGUAGUAUAUUACUUUCUUUGAAAUACACGUUUUAAAGAAUACAACACGUGUUUCGUUCUGUGCAAUGGUAGUGUGUUUAAAUAGUCUGUAAUACGUAAUAUAUUUGUGAUUUAUAAGAUAUUCCGUGUUUUCCCACACAACGUCAUGGAGUUAGUCAUGCAAGUAUGAGUGGUGUGUUGUAGUGUUCUUGAUCAUGAUAGAAAUAUAUCAGGGAAUCGAACGAAAAACAAGAAGGUUUUGUAGAGAUGACUACAUGCAACUCUAAGUCACGCGUGUUGAAAUGUGAGGAGUGUGUGAAGCGAUGUGUAAAUGUGCCCAACAGCGAACAAUUUUGAACAGCCCUAACCCAACCCACAGUAUGUAUAGGAAACUUGCCCCAACAACCCUGGGUGAAUGUGGCGGAGCCCCAGUGACAAAAUUAUUUGUAUAGCGAAAUAUGUUAAAUUGUGGGAAUUUUAAAUGAUUAUAGUGUGUUAUUAAGUUAGUCCGCCACACAUCUCAUACGAUCUGAACUGGAAUCGAACCCUAGCCGCCCUGCGAUUGGAAGCCUGCGAGUGGCUGAGCUAUGACAUUCAUCUAUGCGGAAUUAAUGAAGCCCCAUGCCAUGAAGGCGUGUAGGGAACGGAAGUAAAGCUCCACCAUCUCUAACCUGCGCUGGAGGUGAGUGCUGGCUACGAGUAUUUUGGUGUGUGGAUGUAGCUUGACAAAACCGGAAGUAGUUUGGAUUGGGAGCGGAAACUGCGGAGUCGAUGUAGGAGAAACUAUUGGUACAGUGUGAGGUCAUUCCAGCAAUGAUGUAAGAGACCUCUGAGGACAGAAGUAAUUAAAUGACUGGCGAUUUCCACUUGGAUAAGCAUUG